rnacentral:rRNA from 1 species
AUUGAACGCUGGCGGAAUGCUUUACACAUGCAAGUCGAACGGCAGCACGGACUUCGGUCUGGUGGCGAGUGGCGAACGGGUGAGUAAUGUAUCGGAACGUGCCCAGUCGUGGGGGAUAACGUAGUGAAAAUUACGCUAAUACCGCAUACGAUCUAUGGAUGAAAGCGGGGGAUCGCAAGACCUCGCGCGAUGGGAGCGGCCGAUAUCAGAUUAGAUAGUUGGUGGGGUAAAGGCCCACCAAGCCAACGAUCUGUAGCUGGUCUGAGAGGACGACCAGCCACACUGGAACUGAGACACGGUCCAGACUCCUACGGGAGGCAGCAGUGGGGAAUUUUGGACAAUGGGCGAAAGCCUGAUCCAGCCAUUCCGCGUGCAGAAUGAAGGCCCUCGGGUUGUAAACUGCUUUUGUACAGAACGAAAAGGUUUCUACUAAUACUAGGAGCUCAUGACGGUACUGUAAGAAUAAGCACCGGCUAACUACGUGCCAGCCGCCGCCGUAA